rnacentral:rRNA from 1 species
GCUUAACGCGAAGAACCUUACCAGGCCUUGACAUGCACUAGACCGACUCUGAAAGGAGUCUUCCCUUCGGGGCUGGUGCACAGGUGCUGCAUGGCUGUCGUCAGCUCGUGUCGUGAGAUGUUGCGUUAAGUCGCGCAACGAGCGCAACCCCUGUCCUUAGUUGCCAUCAGGUAAAGCUGGGCACUCUAGGGAGACAAACCCUCUCUGAGGGUGGGAAGGUGGGGAUGACGUCAAGUCAGGAUGGCCCUUACGGCCUGAGCUGCACACGUGCUACAAUGCUCGGUACAGAGGGACGCAAGACCGCGAGGUGGAGCAAAUCCCAAAAACCGAGCCCAGUUCAGAUUGCAGUCUGCAACUCGACUGCAUGAAGCCGGAAUCGCUAGUAAUGGCGUAUCAGCUACGACGCCGUGAAUACGUUCCCGGGUCUUGUACACACCG